CUACGGCCAUACCACCCUGAACACGCCCGAUCUCGUCUGAUCUCGAGCUAGCAGGGUCGGGCCUGGUUAGUACUUGGAUGGGAGACCUCCUGGGAAUACUGGGUGCUGUAGG
rnacentral:rRNA from 1 species